UACGUAGGGUGCAAGCGUUGUCCGGAAUUAUUGGGCGUAAAGAGCUCGUAGGCGGUUUGUCGCGUCUGCUGUGAAAUCUGUGGGCUCAACCCCCAGCCUGCAGUGGGUACGGGCAGACUAGAGUGCGGUAGGGGAGAUUGGAAUUCCUGGUGUAGCGGUGGAAUGCGCAGAUAUCAGGAGGAACACCGAUGGCGAAGGCAGAUCUCUGGGCCGUAACUGACGCUGAGGAGCGAAAGCAUGGGGAGCGAACAGG
rnacentral:rRNA from 1 species